rnacentral:rRNA from 1 species
CCUACGGGCGUCAGCAGUGAGGAAUAUUGGUCAAUGGGCGGGAGCCUGAACCAGCCAAGUCGCGUGAAGGAAGAAGGUACUUAGUAUUGUAAACUUCUUUUGUCGGGGAACAAAGGCUGAGACGCGUCUCCGGAUGCGUGUACCCGAAGAAAAAGCAUCGGCUAACUCCGUGCCAGCAGCCGCGGUAAUACGGGGGAUGCGAGCGUUAUCCGGAUUUCUUGGGUUUAAAGGGUGCGCAGGCGGGAGAUCAAGUCAGCGGUAAAAUGUCGGGGCUCAACCCCGGCCGGCCGUUGAAACUGGUUUUCUUGAGUGAGCGAGAAGUAUGCGGAAUGCGUGGUGUAGCGGUGAAAUGCAUAGAUAUUGCGCAGAACGCCGAUUGCGAAGGCAGCAUACCGGCGGCGAUCUGACGCUGAGGCACGAAAGCGUGGGUAUCGAACAGGAUUAGAUACCCGGGUAGUC